GUGGGAGCAUUUCCAUAGAGCCACUUUGCAUCAGCAGCUCCAUGCUCCAGUGCUCUGGGAGAGUUUAUAGUCCUGAGAGCUGAACACUGGAUGACUGACAGCUGUCCUUCAUCACAACACAAGACACAGAAAUCCUCCUCAUCAGCAGCAUGACUGUGAUCUCCGUCCUCAUCUGGACUCUCCUCUGCUGCUGCUUCACAGAGUCCAGAGGUCAGGUCACAGUGACUCAGCCUGGAGCAGUGAGAACCACACUGGGAGGAAGAGUCACCAUCAGCUGUAGAACCAGUCAGAGUGUUUAUAACAAUGACUUUUUAGCCUGGUACCAAGAUAAAAAUGGAGAAUCUCCUAAACUGCUCAUUUACCGUGCUAAUAGUCGACAGUCAGGGAUUCCAGAUCGCUUUUCAGGCAGUGGAUCAAACUCUGACUUCACUCUGACCAUCAGUGGAGUCCAGGCUGAAGAUGCAGCAGAUUAUUACUGUCAGAGUUAUCAUUACAUCAACAGCAAAGUUGUGUUGACACAGUGAAAAACCGUCGUACAAAAACCUCCUUAGUCAAAGUGAACAGAAACUGAACUAACUGCUGCAGCUGGGUGCUACUGACACACACACACACACACACACACACACACACACACACACACACACACACACACA